ensembl:lncRNA
UGGGUGUUAUUUUUGACUCUGAGCUUGGUUUUAUCCCACAUAUUAAACAUGUUACCAAAAUUGGAUUUUAUCAUCUAAAAAAUAUCUUAAAAAUAUAGCCAGGGUCCGCCUUAUUCUCUCUCAGGCCGGUGUAAUGCGGGCCCACAUUACACCGGUUUUAGAAUUGCUGCAUUGGCUCCCUGUGUGUUUCAGGAUCAGGAUUGGUUUUUAAAUGUCUUAAUGGUCUUGGGCCUUCUUAUCUCUCAGAUUUGCUUUUACCAUAUGAACCCUCGCGGACCUUGAGGUCCUCAGGCACUGGCCUUUUGAUUAAUUUUUUUUAUUAAUUUAGAUUUUACCUAAUAUUUAUUGAUUUUAUUCUUAUUCAUUUUUUAUCUUCUUACUCUAUUUAUAUUUAUAUUGUAUCCCAUUCUUAUUUAUUUUAUUUAUUUAUUUAUUUUUAUUCUGUAUAUACUCUUAUUAUGGGCAGGGAUAGCUCAGUAGGUAAAGUGGUCGCCCCAUGAUCGGAAGGUCGGCGGUUCGAAUCCACUUAACGGCUACCCUGAGGUACCCCUGAGCAAGGUACCGUCCCUACACACUGCUCCCCGGGCGCCUGCUUAGUGGGCUGCCCACUGCUUCACUGAGUGAAUGGGUCAAAUGCAGAGAAAAACAAGUAAUUUCCCCAUGGGGAUCAAUAAAGUAUCCAUUAUUAUUAUUAUUAUUAUUAUUAGGUCAUAUCUCCAGUGUUUCCUCGGAGGGGGCUCUCUGCACCGGGGCUGUGAUCGACCGUGGCUGCUGGGGCUCUGUAGGUCUUCUCAGCCUGGCUGGGGGGCUUCUUUGCCUCCCUCCUGCUGUGUGCCCAGCCUGGAGGCUGCGGUCUGUGACCGGCUCCCGGUGCACAUGGCUCCCCGUGAUAGUGUUUCCUCACUUGGCUCAUGUGUGCCCAGCCCAAUUUUACUUUUUAAGUGUGUGUGUGUGUGUGUGUGUGUGUGUGUGUGUGUGCGUUGGGGGGGGGUUAUGUAUCCAUGAUCGUUUAUGUUAAUGAGAGUGUGGAGAGUGAGUUGGAGGGCAGGGUGGGGUGGGCUGCUUUUAACCAUGUAAAGCACUUUGUGCUACAUCUUUGUAUGAAAAGGGCUUUAUAAAGAUUGAUUGAUUGAUUGAUUGAUUGAUUGAUUGAUUGAUUGAUUGAUGUGCUUUUUUUUCUUGAAAUGGUACUUUUUUUUAUUUUAAACAUUUUUCUGUGUUGUUGAAGUUUAUUACAUUUACAAAUCAUUGUAUUUUGUUUUAUUUGCAUUUUACCCAGUGUCCCAACUUUUUUUUGGAGGGGGGGGGGGGGGGGGGGGGGGGGAUUUGGUUUGAAAUGGAAACCCCUCUAAAUGCUGAGUUAUAAAUUGUGUUUAGAGAAUAGAAGUGUUUUAGACUUUCCUUUGCAUCACAACAGUCUGUUUUUAUUUUACAUUUGCUGGAGUGGCUAGUCCUCAACAGAUCCAGAAUCUGCACCAAAUCUGGAUUAGUUUCCUUACAGCCCAAUGAUUGACUUUUAAAUAAGUAGAAGAUCAUUUCAUUUCAAUUCCAUCUUAAUUGUACAGCACCAAAUCAGAACAACAGUGGCCUCAAAGUGCUUUAAAACUCUUUUGUUUUUAAAUCCCAUCCUUUAGUGCCCUUAGAAACCUCAUUAGAUCUAUUAAGAUGCCGCUACAAACUGCGCACACAUAUAGAGACACCUGACU